CUUUCUACUCCUUGGAUGUAAGUGGGAUGGCUGGCUCUUCAUUCUGAACUGUGAAAGUAGGGAAGCCUCCUAGUGAUGGCGACAUGGAACACUGGAGGCAACCUGUGUCCCAGAUCUGACUAUGGAAUCAUCACACCGUCUCCAAACUACCUCAAUCCAGACUUUCAUGCAAAAAGAAAUGAAGAUUCAUCAUGCUUAUACUUUAGGAGGAAAGCAGAGGGAGUCUUGAAACAGCAGAAGAGGAGACAGCAAUGCAAUCACAGAAGCAGAGAUUGGAGCAAUGUGGCCACGCCACAAGGAAUGCCCACAGCACCAGAAGCUGAAAGAGGCAAGAAAUGGAUUCUCCCUAAGAGCCUCUGGAAGGAACACAGCCUUCUUGGUUUGGGCCCAGUGAAACUCACUAUAGAACCUCUGGCCUCCAGAACUGUGAGAGCAUACAUUUCUGUUGGUUUAAAUCAGCAAGUUUGUGGUAAUUUGUUACACCCUAGGUUUACGGUCUAAUACACCACCUCAGAUGAGGAGAAUGAGAACUCCAUUAUGGGAAAGGUAAAAUGAAAAUUUAGAAGUGGCUAAGUUGCCAGAUAACUCUGAAACCAUAACAGCUCUGAGCUUCCUUCAUCAGACUUUUUUAAAUGAGAAAGGGAUAAACUUCUGUCUUUCAGUCACAGUUAUUUGGAGUUUCUUUUAUAGGCAGUCAAACCUAUAAAUAACCGGCAAAUAUGUUAUUUAACCCUCUAUCUCUAAGCCAAGAUAUAACUAAAUAAUGUAAAAUAAAUAGAUGUCCACCCAAGGAAUACGAUUUAGUAUCACGUUUUAAAUAUAGUAAUAGUAAGUACAUAAAGAAAAUCUCUUCACUGAGCUUGGUACCACUUAUUUCCAUGACUGGACUCAAGAUAUGUGGAAAUGAUACUUUUACUGCCAAAGACUUUAUAGGUUAUAGGAAUGGUUUCAGUGGUGUUAAAUACAUUACACCAGUAAUGACAUGCUUUAUGGAAAAUAGAAAUUCUAGGUGGGUAGGGGGUAGUUCUUGGACACAUUGAAACAUGGUUUAAAAUAACUCAGUCUUUGACCAGGCUUUUCUUCUGUUCAUUGGGAAUUAUUUCAUUGCCCACUCUCUAUUAUGUUUGUCUAUCAACACAGGCUUUGCUUUGAUUUCGGAUCCAAGGUUCACCAUCUGCAGCAAGUUGUGUAAUCUCUACAAGCCUCAGUUUCCUUGUAGGUAGAAUGGAACUACCUCAUAAGUUCUCACAUAAAUGAGGUAAGGCUUUCACAGAGUGCCUGCCACAGUGCAAGAGUUUAAUAAUAGGAAAGUCGUCAUCGCUAUUGCUAUCUGGAUGAGACAGGCCUAUUAAGGAACCAAGAAAAGGACUAACAAAUAUAGUUUUUUGUUUGUUUUUGUUUUGCCUACUGUUGCUACCUUUGAAGAACAAAUAUAGAUUUUGACACUAUUAACAGAAGGCAAUUUGGAAGAUCAAAUGUAAGUCUUUUAGUCAUCCAUUCCUACCAAAAGCUUGUUUCAUACAAAAUUUUAGUUUGUAUGAAGUGUUCUUCUGGUACAACUUUUUAGUCACCAUGGGAAUUUUAUUUCAACAAAGUAUUAAACCAUGAGGCAUUUAUUUUGAAUAUAGUUAGCAAAAAGAGUGAUUGGGAGCUGAAGAGAGAUAAGGAAAGUGGAAUGAAAGGCAGAGAGAAGAAAAGAUUUGAGCAAUGCAGCUUCAGGCAAGAUGGGGAAGGAAGAAGAGUUGAAGCAAGUAUGAAAGGGACUAAGAGAGCAAAACGAAGUAGUUUGUAGGAUACCAUGGGAAAUAAUGAACUACAUAGCCUUUGCACUGGCAUUGAGUCACAGAAAUACCUAUUCACAUAGCUGCAGAUGACUGAAAGCUUUUUGUCAUUGUUGUUCAUCUCAAACAUCAAAACUAUUCUGUAGAUCUGGAAUUAUGGUCAGACACAGGUGAAUGUCAACAACUCUGGGUCAAAAAAAUCAGAAAGCCAUUUAAAUCAACUAAGGACCAGGAAGGUAGGAUAGAGAACCAGCAUAGCUGAGAUUGUACUGCAAGUGGUUAUUGUGCUAAGUGCAUGAAUACGCCUCUCUCGUUUAAGUCAUACAAAAAUCCUGCACCACUAUUUUACAUAAGAAAUGUGAAAUAAAUUUUUUAUCUAAGAUGAAAUAAUAAUAUUGAUAUAUUAGGGAUUCUAUUAACGAGAAUGUUAAAUUAAGAUGAGUAUGUUAUAUUAAAAUCCAUGUUCCAUUAAUUAC
rnacentral:lncRNA from 1 species